GGGAAAUUUGAAACAAGCGCUUAUCAUCCGUAUGAUAGCCUAAACCUCCGCAGACACCUAGCAAGUUCUCUCUCUCUCUCUCUCUCUCUCUCUCUCUCUCUCUCUCUCUCUCUCUCUCUCUCUCUCUCUCUCUCUCUCUCUCUCUCUCUCUCUCUCUCUCUCUCUCUCUCUCUCUCUCUCUCUCUCUCUCUCUCGUUUUUUGUUGCCAGUUGUCGCCUGUUGCGAGAUGACGCAUUACCAUUUACCAGCAAUUAGUCGCUCACAACCACUGACCCCGGAAGGAAGUUCAAGGAACCAUGGAGGGGAAACAGACCAAAUCUGACGGAGAGCUCAUGCCUCCUCCACGAGCCCCACCGAGGAGAGCUGCCGCCCGACCAAGGAGGGCUGCCACUCCACCCCUUCCACCUCAGCCACCAGCACCGGAGGAUGUCCCACGCCUUCGAAGAUCAUUUGCUUUUAUGGAAUCCAAGACAAGAGACGUGGGGACCCUGACUCC